GGGAGAACAGAGGUAGAGAAGGAAAGGGGGAAAGAGUUCAUUAUUUACAUAAUUUGACAGACAGUGUGUGUGUCCAUAUACAGUUGAAGUCAGAAGUUUACAUACACCUUAGCCAAAUACAUUUAAACUCUGUUUUUCACAAUUCCUGACAUUUAAUCCUAGUAAAGAUUCCAUUUUAGGUCAGUCAGGAUCACCACUUUAUUUUAAGAAAGUGAAAUGUCAGAGUAAUAGUAGAGAGAAUGAUUUAUUUCAGCUUUUAUUUAUUUCAUCACAUUCCCAGUGGGUCAGAAGUAUACAUACACUCAAUUAGAAUUUGGUAGCAUUGCCUUUAAAUUGUUUAACUUGGGUCAAACGUUUCGGGUAGCCUUCAACAAGCUUCCCACAAUAAGUGUGGUGAAUUUUGGCCCAUUCCUCCUGACAGAGCUGGUGUAACUGAGUCAGGUUUGUAGGCCUCCUUGCUCGCACACACCUCAGUUCUGCACACACAUGUUCUAUAGGAUUAAGGUCAGGGCUUUGUUAUGGCCACUCCAAUACCUUGACUUUGUUGUCCUUAAGCCAUUUUGCCACAACUUUGGAAGUAUGCUUGGGGUCAUUGUCCAUUUGGAAGACCCAUUUGCGACCAAUCUUUAACUUCCUGACUGAUGUCUUGAGAUGUUGCUUCCAUCCUCAUGAAGCUAUCUAUUUUGUGAAGUGCACCAAUCCCUCUUGCAGCAAAGCACCCCCACAACAUGAUGCUGCCACCCCCGUGCUUCACGGUUUUGAUGGUGUUCUUUGGCUUGCAAGCCUACCCAUUUUUCUUCCAAACAUAACGAUGGUCAUUAUGGCCAAACAGUUCUAUUUUUGUUUCAUCAGACCAGAGGAUAUUUCUCUGCAUUGGAGAAGGUCCAAGGUCAUUCCCCAUAAGGUCCAAGGUCACCUUCUCCAAUGCAUUUUGAGGCGGCGGCGAGGAGGAGAAUUUGGAUAGAGCUUCUUAGUUGAGCCGAGGUAGUCAGUACAGACUGCGCCACCCAGCUCUGUACAGUUGAACAACACUGUUGGCAAGCAGAUGGCAAGCGAGGAAUCACAUGACUAAUUUAGAUGGAGCUAGAGAGAGAAAAGAUGAGAAAACAGAACAGGGAGGCUGGAGUUCAUUGAGUGAUUCAGUCUCACCAUUGAGCACACAAAGGCUCAGGACUGUUUUGUAGCUAGGCUGGGGAAGAGGUCAGAGGCUGUGUACUGUAUGGUGGGCUGGGCUGGGGAAGAAGAGGUUAGAGGCUGUGUACUGUACGGUGGGCUGGGGAAGAGGUCAGAGACUAUGUACUGUACGGUGGGCUGGGGAAGAGGUCAGAGACUAUGUACUGUACGGUGGGCUGGGGAAGAGGUCAGAGACUGUGUACUGUACGGUGGGCUGGGGAAGAGGUCAGAGACUGUGUACUGUACGGUGGGCUGGGGAAGAGGUUAGAGACUGUGUACUGUACGGUGGGCUGGGGAAGAGGUCAGAGACUGUGCACUGUACUGUGGGCUGGGGAAGAGGUCAGAGACUGUGCACUAUACUGUGGGCUGGGGAAGAGGUCAGAGGCUGUGUACUGUACGGUGGGCUGGGGAAGAGGAGGUCAGAGACUGUGUACUGUACGGUGGGCUGGGGAAGAGGUCAGAGACUGUGCACUAUACUGUGGGCUGGGGAAGAGGAGGUCAGAGACUGUGUACUGUACGGUGGGCUGGGGAAGAGGUCAGAGACUAUGUACUGUACGGUGGGCUGGGGAAGAGGUCAGAGACUAUGUACUGUACGGUGGGCUGGGGAAGAGGUCAGAGACUAUGUACUGUACGGUGGGCUGGGGAAGAGGUCAGAGACUAUGUACUGUACGGUGGGCUGGGGAAGAGGAGGUCAGAGACUGUGUACUAUACUGUGGGCUGGGGAAGAGGAGGUCAGAGACUAUGUACUGUACGGUGGGCUGGGGAAGAGGUCAGAGACUAUGUACUGUACGGUGGGCUGGGGAAGAAGAAUAUAGGAAUCUACUGCUGCAACCAGCAUCAGGUCUUUAGUGUCGUUGGACUAAAAAAUAAUUAUGAAUAAGUUGUAUACAUGUGACUUCGCAGCUCCUGAUCAGUAUAUGUUUGUUAUUAAACAGACACACAGUCCAACGUUUACACAACCGUAUUAAACCCAAUCCUGUCACUGAUUGAGUGAACCAAUUUAUGUCGCCUAGCAACGAGAGGUGUCAAGCAGCCAAGGGAAGUCAAUAUAUUAGGCUCCAGAGUAAGGCUGGUAGAAUUAUGGACAAUAACCAUGAACUAAUUUUGUUGUCUUAAUACACUCAUUUUAGGAGAAGGCUGGAUUCAACUUCAAAUAGAUAUUGUUUACCCAAUUGCAGUUCUCCCAUUUUGACUUCAAAUGGGUAAAGUUGUGUAUCAUAUUACGAGCAGAACGACACGGUCGUGAGGAGAUGACAAUGAAUCGUUACCUAAAAUUCCAUAAUCGUCAUAGCCCUCCCUAGAGGACCGUUGGAUAGAAAGACAGAAAUGGCUAAAUCCAUCUGUUCACCCCCUCCCCCUUAAUAUCCUCCACAUAGCAACAGAAUACUCCUGCAGCCAGUGGUUUCCAUAGCAACAAGUGAGAGAGGGACCAGAGGGGGAGAAAGAGGAGGUAGACAGAGGGAGGAAGAGUGCCUAAUCCCUACAUACAUAGAAGUGUAAAACAGGGAGGAAAGGGCCUGUGAGCACCCCCCCACACUCUGCUCAGCAAUUACACAAUGUGAUCUGUAACCAAUAGGCCUACCUCCCCACACUGCUCUGUCCCCACUCUUUCAGCCAUGAUGUUAUCUGGCAUUAAUCAGUCUACAUAUCCAUGUCUUUGUUACGUAUAAUGAUCUUCCACUCAUGCCUGUUCAACUCCUUUUCUACAUCAAUUUCCUGUGCGUGCGUGCGUGCGUGCGUGCGUGCGUGCGUGCGUGCGUGUGUCUACAGUAUACGUCUGUGUGUGU